UCCGAGUUGACCCCGGCAGUCUCCCAUGAGUCCCCAACCAAAUGCUGGCAACACAGGACGAGGGUUGCGCUCGUUGCGGGACUUAACCCAACAUCUCACGACACGAGCUGACGACGGCCAUGCAGCACCUGUGUUCCCGCCAGCCGAACUGAAGGAUCCCGUCUCCAGGACCCAUACGGGACAUGUCAAGGGUUGGUAAGGUUCUGCGCGUUGCUUCGAAUUAAACCACAUGCUCCACCGCUUGUGCGGGCCCCCGUCAAUUCCUUUGAGUUUCAGUCUUGCGACCGUACUCCCCAGGCGGAGUGCUUAAUGCGUUGGCUGCGACACAGAAGGCUGAACCCCCUGCGUCUAGCGCACAUCGUUUACGGCGUGGACUAC
rnacentral:misc_RNA from 1 species